rnacentral:rRNA from 1 species
AGUGGCAGAAGGGUUGGGUAAAGUAUAGGAAUCUCCCUUGUGGUAGGGAAUAAUGUUGGGAAGCGCCACUUAAUACUGUUUCUGCCUACCGGGGAAAAGAUUAUUGGUUAUAGAUGAGCCUAUUAUAGAUUAGCUAAGUGGUGAAGUAAUAGCCUACCAAGGCAAUGAUCUAUAGCUGAUCUGAGAGGAUGAUCAGCCACACUGGAACUGAGAUACGGUCCAGACUUCUACGGGAGGCAGCAGUGGGGAAUAUUGGACAAUGGGCGAAAGCCUGAUCCAGCCAUGUCGCAUGAGUGAAGAAGGCCUUUGGGUUGUAAAGCUCUUUUAGUGAGGAAGAUAAUGACGGUACUCACAGAAGAAGUCCUGGCUAACUCCGUGCCAGCAGCCGCGGUAAUACGGAGAGGGCUAGCGUUAUUCGGAAUUAUUGGGCGUAAAGGGCGCGUAGGCUGAUUAAUAAGUUAAAAGUGAAAUCCCGAGGCUUAACCUUGGAAUUGCUUUUAAAACUAUUAAUCUAGAGAUUGAAAGAGGAUAGAGGAAUUCCUGAUGUAGAGGUAAAAUUCGUAAAUAUUAGGAGGAACACCAGUGGCGAAGGCGUCUAUCUGGUUCAAAUCUGACGCUGAGGCGCGAAGGCGUGGGGAGCAAACAGGAUU